UAUUAUAUAUUAAUUUACAUUGAAUAAAUUCAUUCAAUUAUAUUUAUUUUAAAAAUGAAAUUUCCAUAAUAAAUAACACUUAAAUUUUACAUAAAUUAGAUAUAAACCAGGAUUAGAUACCCUGCUAUUCUAAAUUAUAUAAUAAUAUUUCAAAGAAAUACAAAAUAAAUCUGACGGUAUUAACUUUUACAAAGGAAUUUGUUUCUUAAUCGACAACCCACGAACAUCUUACUUAAUAAAUUUUUGUAUACCACCGUAAAGAAAUUAAUUCAUAAUCUCAGAACAGACUAAAUUCUUAAAAAUCAGGUCAAGGUGCAAUUUUAUUAAGACGAAAUGAAUUACAUUAAUUUUUACUCACUCAUAUUAACUGAAAUAUUAAUAAAAAAAGAAUUUGUUAGUAAAAUUUUAUCAUAAUGAUAAUUUGAAAACCAACAUUAAUAUG
rnacentral:rRNA from 1 species